rnacentral:rRNA from 1 species
GACGAACGCUGGCGGCGUGCUUAACACAUGCAAGUCGAACGGAAAGGCCCUGCUUUUGUGGGGUGCUCGAGUGGCGAACGGGUGAGUAACACGUGAGUAACCUGCCCUUGACUUUGGGAUAACUUCAGGAAACUGGGGCUAAUACCGGAUAGGAGCUCCUGCUGCAUGGUGGGGGUUGGAAAGUCUCGGCGGUUGGGGAUGGACUCGCGGCUUAUCAGCUUGUUGGUGGGGUAGUGGCUUACCAAGGCUUUGACGGGUAGCCGGCCUGGGAGGGUGACCGGCCACAUUAGGACUGAGGGACGGACCAGACUCCUACGGGAGGCAGCGGUGGGAAGUAUUGCACAGUGGGCGGAAGCCUGAUGAAGCAGCGCCGGGUGCGGGAUGACGGCCUGCGGGUUGUGAACCGCUUUCGCCUGUGACGAAGCGUGAGUGACGGUAAUGGGUAAAGAAGCACCGGCUAACUACGUG